UGAAGUGCCUCGGAAAUUGCCCAUGUGUAUUUGUUACCAUGGUGGUUCUUGUAUUCAAGGAAGCAACGGAACUUACAUCUGCCACUGCAAGGAAGGCUAUUAUGGUGUGGAUUGUUCCCUUAUGUCUGCCAGUGGCCUCUUGAGUGCCCUCAAAUCUACCAAGGUCACAGCAAUUACAGUUCCUAUUGUUCUACUGCUGAUCAUGGGAGGCUUGACUCUAGCUGGUUAUUUCCUCAUUAAAAAACGCAG
rnacentral:lncRNA from 1 species